CCUUUACUAUAGCUUGACACUGAACAUUGAGCCUUGAUGUGUAGGAUAGGUGGGAGGCUUUGAAGUGUGGACGCCAGUCUGCAUGGAGCCGACCUUGAAAUACCACCCUUUAAUGUUUGAUGUUCUAACGUGGACCCGUUACCCGGGUUGCGGACAGUGUCUGGUGGGUAGUUUGACUGGGGCGGUCUCCUCCUAAAGAGUAACGGAGGAGCACUAAGGUUGGCUAAUCCUGGUCGGACAUCAGGAGGUUAGUGCAAUGGCAUAAGCCAGCUUGACUGCGAGCGUGACGGCGCGAGCAGGUGCGAAAGCAGGUCAUAGUGAUCCGGUGGUUCUGAAUGGAAGGGCCAUCGCUCAACGGAUAAAAGGUACUCCGGGGAUAACAGGCUGAUACCGCCCAAGAGUU
rnacentral:rRNA from 1 species